GUGUCCCUGAGCAGUUGGAGAGGAUAUGGGAAAGCUGCUGAAUCAAUACAAUGGUGGCCUGAUAGAGAACCCUUGGGUCUGGGCCACAGAUUAUCUUCAUCAUGGAGUCUAUAUGGCUUGAUUUAACCUAAGUAAUUUAGAGGUAAUCUAGAUGCUUUGAAUUUUAUUGCUUGUUUUAUUUGUUUUCAGAGGGAGGGAAAUUUACAUUCUAAUCCUCGGAAUUUUUUUUGUCUGAAACAUGUUUUCCC
rnacentral:lncRNA from 1 species